GAUGAAGAACGCAGCGAAAUGCGAUACUUGGUGUGAAUUGCAGAAUCCCGUGAACCAUCGAGUCUUUGAACGCAAGCUGCGCCUCAAGCCAUUAGGUUGAGGGCACGUCUGCCUGGGCGUCACAUAUCGUUGCCUGAUGCCAGUUUCCUCGUGAUGGGUGACUGUGCAGGGCGAAUGAUGGCUUCCCGUGAGCAUUGUUGCCUCAUGGUUGGUUGAAAAUUGAGUCCUUGGUAGGGAGCGCCGUGAUAGAUGGUGGUUGAGUGACGAACGAGACCCAAUCAUGUGAGACCCCUACCGAAUUUGGCCUUCAUGACCCACAUGCGUCUUUGGAACGCUCAUGACGAGACCUCAGGUCAGGCGGGGCUACCCGCUGAGUUUAAGCAUAUCAAUAAGCGGAGGA
rnacentral:misc_RNA from 1 species